rnacentral:rRNA from 1 species
UACGAAGGGGGCUAGCGUUGCUCGGAAUUACUGGGCGUAAAGCGCACGUAGGCGGAUUGUUAAGUCGGGGGUGAAAUCCUGGAGCUCAACUCCAGAACUGCCUUCGAUACUGGCGAUCUCGAGUCCGGGAGAGGUGAGUGGAACUGCGAGUGUAGAGGUGAAAUUCGUAAGAUAUUCGCAAGAACACCAGUGGCGAAGGCGGCUCACUGGCCCGGU